GACGAACGCUGGCGGCGUGCCUAAUACAUGCAAGUAGGACGCAGUUGCGAACGGGUGAGUACCGCGUAGUUCACUGCCUAUUAGAGGGGGAUAACUAUUGGAAACGAUAGCUAAUACCGCAUACUAGUAGAUGGACCUGCGUUGUAUUAGCUAGUAGGUAGGGUAAUGGGCUAACUAGGCGGAGGUACAUAGCCGACCUGGAGGGGUGAUUGGGCAAACUGGGAAUGAGACACGGCCCAAAAUUCUAAGGGAGGCAGCAGUUGGGGAACGUUGGACAUGGGGGGAACGCUGACCGAGCAAAGCCGGGGGAGGGAAGAAGGGUUUCGGAUCGUAAAGCUCUGUUGUGAAGGAAGCGGUACUUAAACAGAAAGGGACGGCUAACUACGUGCCAGCAGCCGCGGUAAUUC
rnacentral:rRNA from 1 species